GUAGUUCGGCUAAAUUUUUAUUGACAACAGUGAAAAACUGGCUUCUACCAGAGUUAAAAGUGAACACAAAAAUAAGCUAAAAAUCGCCGGUUGACUUGUUCUUAGUUUUUCUUUUAAACUAAUUUUAAGUGCAAAUGAUUUUUUAUGAAGACAUGUUGAAAACGAAGUUUCAAGAUUAGCAAACGUUUGGUAUCUCAGAUAUACGUAUAUAUAUGUUUGGCAAGAUAUCAAAAAGUUUUUUGACUUAGAGUCCAAAUUAAUGUAAUAUCGAAACAUCUAUGCAUACACACAAGACUCAAAAACAUCCUCUAAAUAAGGGUAAAAAUACAUAAAAUAAUUGAAACACGUCUAUAAGGGGAUGGAAAUUACUCUUAUACAAUAUCAAACUGUUUGUAUCUAUUAUAACUCCAGUAAUUGGAAACAAAUCCUGAACUCCUUAAGUUUUAUGAAUAUAAAUAAAGCAUAAACAUGUUACGACUUCGGUUACAAAGUAAAAAAAUUACCCGUGUAUUGAAUUAUAAAUUUGAGUCAUUGAUGUAGGUACCAUAACUUGCAUUUUGAUAGCAGUUUGUCUGGAUCUGGAAUGAUAACAAAUAUUCCCACAUUUUUUUUUAUAUAGAUACUUAUGGAAAGAUAAAAAUGCGGUGAAAACUUAACGUUUACAAUAGUCAACGACGUAUUGAAUAUAUGUCAGGUUUUGAUAUUUGUAUUUCAUUGUACUGUAUUUACCUGAGGUACCAUACGGUCAGCUAUGUGAUUCCAACAUGAUUAUCUUACCCCAUCAAAGGAGGAGAAUACACGGACCCGAACGAUUUUCGAAAAGGGAAGGGAAAAGCAAUUUAUCUUUAUGAAAUUCCUCAUUUUCUUGGUCCGUUCGGACAACAAAAAGGCGACUCUGACAAUAUCACGGGUGCGAGAGAGAGAUAGAGGUCAUCGCGGAGGCAAAGAUCUUGAUACUGUAACAUUUCUCCAAAUAGAUAGACGCAAGAAAUGUCUACCGCUUGAAGAAGCCACAGCGUGAUGAAAUAAUUAUUGUGGAAUCAAUAAAUAACUCGUUUCCGUUAUUGCGAUGGAGUUUCAAGAACUAAAAGCCUGUAUUCACACAAUGGAGUGAAAUCGAAAUAUGUGAACCAACAACCGAUAUCACCAGAAGAAACGAAAAAUGAAACAACAAACUUUAUAGUUAAAGGUCGCCGGGAAUAAUGAGAAGGAAAAAGAAAUUAAGAAUGAAGUAAAUGGGUUAGAAAUUAUUAAAAGACGAUGGAAAAGAUAAAAAAUGAACGACGAUAUAUGAAGAAAAUAAAGGAAAAUGUCUAAUGUCUGAUAAAGCAGAAAUAUUGGUUUACAUUAUCCUUUUAACACCAAAAAGAUUUUGAGCUCGUACUUUUUAUUGAAGUUACUAAGAAUUAUGGAGACCUGAAACAUAAACAAAAGUAAUAAAUUAUCAUUUGAGAUGA
rnacentral:lncRNA from 1 species